AGGCAGUCAUGGACAACUAAUGAUGUUGGAAUUACAAAGCCUACACACUGGCCUCUAGCUGAAACCAUACUGUGGAGAAAUUCAUUGUGUAGCUGAGGAGUCUGAACGGAGCCAGAUUCCAGCUGAGACCACACUGCUGAUCAACUCGUUUCCAGCUCUCUCUGGCUUCCCUCACUCCCUUGCCAGUUUGUCCUGGCACCACUCCUUCAAUGAAUCCUUUCAAAGGAGCUUACUUGUGAGGCUUUAUACCUAAGAGCCAUCAUCCUGCUGGCAUCUGAGGAAGUGGAAGGCCACAAAGAGAAGGAAUUGAGGAGUUGGGAUAGCUUCCAUCAUAACAAGAAGUAAAAAGCUGAAAACUGAAAGUCAGCAGCUCUUCUGGAAUCUUGAGAUAACAUGUCAAGCCACUGCCCUCCAAAGCAAAGGUGGACGAGUAGAUACAGAGGUUCCCAGCUCCUGUGAACAGAAACCCCAAUGUCAGCCCUAGCCAGGAUCCAAAUGUGUAACUGAUGAAGGGCAAGAGGCUCGAUGGAUAAAGAACACAGAUGAGAUGCCUGGUAGUGUGACAACCACAGAAUGGCUAAGCAACAACGAAUUACUGAAAUUAAAGAAUCAGAGCUAGAAUUUAACACAUGGGAAUUGUGCUUGCAAGUGAAUGCAGGAAGGUUAAUGGUGAACACGAGAAAGCAGCCCAGACGGUCACUGUUUUGUCCUUCAUAGUGCUCAUUAGUGCCCGAGAAAUCUGUGUCAGAGACCUGUGGACCUGAGAGGACAGCAUCGGUUCAAAAUCUGGGAACUGUCCCAAGCAUGUAUUAGGAUGCAAAUUAAUUUGAGCCUUGUUUCCCCUGCUCUUGCCACUGGGAGCGCAUUGGGUGGGAAGGUUAAUUCAGUGCAGCCUUAUCUCCCGUGGGCACUGCUGGGGAGCCUUGGAAUCAUUUUGUUUCUCAUCUCUGGAAAUGGAAUGUGCUUUGCCUCACUGAUGAGUAGGGGAGGAAAGAGGUCAACCUGGAGAGAUUAGGAUGCCUACCAAGGCUCCCUGUGCUGCAAGGGGUUAUUAAGGAUCCCAGAAGUGAGAGGCUGCAGUUAGUUUUAGUUCUGAGGAGCUGUGUCUGUAAGGCUUUCUGUGCAGCUGUAGGACAUUGCUGAAGUCCCCCUUCCCUGACUGCUGCUUCCAAAGAGAACAUCCACACAUGAGCAUGUAUCUGACACUGAAGACAACCAAGAUCCAGUUCAGCCAAAGGGAAAUAAAAUGCAUACACUUUUCAAGC
rnacentral:lncRNA from 1 species